GGGCAUUAAAACUGGAGGUGGAUUUACCUAAAUGGGGCAUUAAAACUGGAGGUGGAUUUACCUAAAUGGGGCAUUAAUUAAAACUGGAGGUGGAUUUACCUAAAUGGGGCAUUAAAACUGGAGGUGGAUUUACCUAAAUGGGGCAUUAAUUAAAACUGGAGGUGGAUUUACCUAAAUGGGGCAUUAAAACUGGAGGCGGAUUUACCUAAAUGGGGCAUUAAAA